rnacentral:rRNA from 1 species
UGCAAGUCGAACGCAGUAGCAAUACUGAGUGGCAGACGGGUGAGUAACAUGUAGGUAUCUGCCCUUUGGCCUGGAAUAACACGAGGAAACUUGUGCUAAUACCGGAUAAGUCUUUACGGAGAAAGCUUUAUGCACCAUUGGAUGAGCCUGCACUUGAUUAGUUUGUUGGUGGGGUAAUGGCCUACCAAGACUGUGAUCAAUAGCUGAUUUGAGAGGAUGAUCAGCCACAUUGGGACUGAGACACGGCCCAAACUCCUACGGGAGGCAGCAGUGGGGAAUCUUGCACAAUGGAGGAAACUCUGAUGCAGCGAUGCCGCGUGAGUGAAGAAGGCCUUUGGGUUGUAAAGCUCUUUCGUCGGGGAAGAAAAUGACUGUACCCGAAUAAGAAGGUCCGGC